CUGGCGCUCUCUCAACCAGCUUCAUGAGAACAGAGGUGUGAUGAGUCUGGAGGAUCUAUGUGACCAUGACAACGAGAAGUUCAAACAAAUCCACACUGACUACAGGGGGGUGAAGCUAUGGAAAAUCUCUCAUGGCAGGACUCAUGGCCCUCAAUAUACUGGAGAACUUUCCCAUCAAAGGAAUCAAAAAGAAAUGACCACAUAAGGCCACCUGUUAGUCUCAGUGAGGAUCUUGGGUUGACCCGUCUCGGCGUUCCACAACAAACAGCCAACCCUGGGUCUGCUCCAGAACCGGUGUAGCAACAUGGUGUAUCCGGAGGCAGAGUAUGUGAGUGGAGUGGAGCAAGGAGUGGAGCUGGAGCGAG